GACGAACGCUGGCGGCGUGCUUAACACAUGCAAGUCGAACGGUAAGGCCCUUCGGGGUACACGAGUGGCGAACGGGUGAGUAACACGUGGGUGAUCUGCCCUGCACUUCGGGAUAAGCCUGGGAAACUGGGUCUAAUACCGGAUAGGACCACUGCCUGCAUGGGGGGUGGUGGAAAGCUUUUGCGGUGUGGGAUGGGCCCGCGGCCUAUCAGCUUGUUGGUGGGGUGAUGGCCUACCAAGGCGACGACGGGUAGCCGGCCUGGGAGGGUGACCGGGCACACUGGGACUGAGACACGGCCCAGACUCCUACGGGAGGCAGCAGUGGGGAAUAUUGCACAAUGGGCGCAAGCCUGAUGCAGCGACGCCGCGUGAGGGAUGACGGCCUUCGGGUUGUAAACCUCUUUCAGCACCGAGGAAGCGCAAGUGACGGUAGGUGCAGAAGAAGGACCGGCCAACUACGUGCCAGCCGCCGCCGUAA
rnacentral:rRNA from 1 species